CAGUAGCCGCGGUAACACGAAGGGGGCUAGCGUUGUUCGGAUUUACUGGGCGUAAAGCGCACGUAGGCGGAUCGAUCAGUCAGGGGUGAAAUCCCAGAGCUCAACUCUGGAACUGCCUUUGAUACUGUCGAUCUGGAGUAUGGAAGAGGUGAGUGGAAUUCCGAGUGUAGAGGUGAAAUUCGUAGAUAUUCGGAGGAACACCAGUGGCGAAGGCGGCUCACUGGUCCAUUACUGACGCUGAGGUGCGAAAGCGUGGGGAGCAAACAGGAUUAGAUACCCCUGUAGUCCCUGUCUCUUAUAC
rnacentral:rRNA from 1 species